GCACUGACCAUUUCUGACAGUCUCUAUGGAGACUGAAUAUUUUGGUUUAAAAAAAAGUCUGCCUUAGUAAUCUUAAGCAACAGGAAUAUAAUUUCAAAUUUAAAAAAAGAAAAAUUAGCUGGCAUGGUGGUGUGAGCCUGUAGUCCCAGCUACUCAGCAGGCUGAGGCAGGGCUCCUUGAGCCCAGGAGUUCGAGGCUGCAGUGAGCUAUAAUCGUGCCACUACACUCCAGCCUAGGUGACAAAGCAAAACCCUAUCUCAAAAAAAUAAAAAUAAUAUAAGCAAAAGGUUAGAGAUGUACACUGAAGUAUUUGUCAACAAAUUAACAAGAUACCUGAAAUCUGCUUUAAUAC
rnacentral:lncRNA from 10 species